UUGUUGGUGAGGUAAAAGCUCACCAAGGCGACGAUCUGUAGCGGGUCUGAGAGGAUGAUCCGCCACACUGGAACUGAGACACGGUCCAGACUCCUACGGGAGGCAGCAGUGGGGAAUUUUGGACAAUGGGGGCAACCCUGAUCCAGCCAUGCCGCGUGAGUGAAGAAGGCCUUCGGGUUGUAAAGCUCUUUCAGCCGGGAAGAAAACGCAUGGGUUAAUACCCUGUGUGGAUGACGGUACCGGAAUAAGAAGCACCGGCUAACUACGUGCCAGCAGCCGCGGUAAUACGUAGGGUGCGAGCGUUAAUCGGAAUUACUGGGCGUAAAGCGUGCGCAGGCGGUUUUGUAAGACAGGCGUGAAAUCCCCGGGCUUAACCUGGGAACUGCGUUUGUGACUGCAAGGCUAGAGUACGGCAGAGGGGGGUGGAAUUCCACGUGUAGCAGUGAAAUGCGUAGAGAUGUGGAGGAACACCAAUGGCGAAGGCAGCCCCCUGGGUCGAUACUGACGCUCAUGCACGAAAGCGUGGGUAGCAAACAGGAUUAGAUACCCUGGUAGUCCACGCCCUAAACGAUGUCAACUAGGUGUUGGGAGGGUAAAACCUUUUAGUACCGGAGCUAACGCGUGAAGUUGACCGCCUGGGGAGUACGGCCGCAAGGUUAAAACUCAAAGGAAUUGACGGGGACCCGCACAAGCGGUGGAUGAUGUGGAUUAAUUCGAUGCAACGCGAAAAACCUUACCUACCCUUGACAUGCCAAGAACUUUCCAGAGAUGGAUUGGUGCCCGAAAGGGAACUUGGACACAGGUGCUGCAUGGCUGUCGUCAGCUCGUGUCGUGAGAUGUUGGGUUAAGUCCCGCAACGAGCGCAACCCUUGUCGUUAAUUGCCAUCAUUUAGUUGGGCACUUUAACGAGACUGCCGGUGACAAACCGGAGGAAGGUGGGGAUGACGUCAAGUCCUCAUGGCCCUUAUGGGUAGGGCUUCACACGUCAUACAAUGGUCGGUACAAAGGGUCGCCAAGCCGCGAGGUGGAGCCAAUCCCAGAAAGCCGAUCGUAGUCCGGAUCGCAGUCUGCAACUCGACUGCGUGAAGUCGGAAUCGCUAGUAAUCGUGGAUCAGAAUGUCACGGUGAAUACGUUCCCGGGUCUUGUACACACCGCCCGUCACACCAUGGGAGCGGGUUCCGCCAGAAGUAGGUAGCCUAACCGCAAGGAGGGCGCUUACCACGGCGGGGUUCGUGACUGGGGUGAAGUCGUAACAAGGUAGCCGUAGGGGAACCUGCGGCUG
rnacentral:rRNA from 1 species